rnacentral:rRNA from 1 species
UACGUAGGGAGCAAGCGUUGUUCGGAUUUACUGGGCGUAAGGGGCGCGUAGGCGGCGCGGUAAGUCACUUGUGAAAUCUCUGAGCUUAACUCAGAACGGCCAAGUGAUACUGCAGUGCUAGAGUGCAGAAAGGGCAAUCGGAAUUCUUGGUGUAGCGGUGAAAUGCGUAGAUAUCAAGAGGAACACCUGAGGCGAAGGCGGGUUGCUAGGCUGACACUGACGCUGAGGCGCGAAAGCCAGGGGAGCAAACGGG